rnacentral:misc_RNA from 1 species
GAUGAAGAACGUAGCGAAAUGCGAUAAGUAAUGUGAAUUGCAGAGUUCAGUGAAUCAUCGAAUCUUUGAACGCACAUUGCGCCCGCCAGUAUUCUGGCGGGCAUGCCUGUUCGAGCGUCAUUAUCACCCCUCAAGCCCCCUUGGCUUGGUGUUGGACGGUUUUGGUGGGGACGUGCAGCCUCUCACCCCUCCUAAAGACAAUGACGGCGGCGUCGUUGGGACCCCCGGUACACUGAGCUUCUUAACUGAGCACGUACUGGACGCGGGUACGCGACGCACGGUCUGCCUCCCCUUUAAGGGAGAACUUUUUCUUAAGGUUGACCUCGGAUCAGGUAGGAAUACCCGCUGAACUUAAGCAUAUCAAUAAGCGGAGGA